rnacentral:rRNA from 1 species
UACGGAGGGUGCAAGCGUUAUCCGGAUUCACUGGGUUUAAAGGGUGCGUAGGUGGGAAGGUAAGUCAGUGGUGAAAUCCCCGAGCUCAACUUGGGAACUGCCAUUGAUACUAUCUUUCUUGAAUACCUUGGAGGUGAGCGGAAUAUGUCAUGUAGCGGUGAAAUGCUUAGAUAUGACAUAGAACACCAAUUGCGAAGGCAGCUCACUACACGGUCAUUGACACUGAGGCACGAAAGCGUGGGGAGCAAACAGG